rnacentral:rRNA from 1 species
CAGUCGCCGCGGUAAUACGUAGGUCCCGAGCGUUGUCCGGAUUUAUUGGGCGUAAAGCGAGCGCAGGCGGUUAGAUAAGUCUGAAGUUAAAGGCUGUGGCUUAACCAUAGUACGCUUUGGAAACUGUUUAACUUGAGUGCAAGAGGGGAGAGUGGAAUUCCAUGUGUAGCGGUGAAAUGCGUAGAUAUAUGGAGGAACACCGGUGGCGAAAGCGGCUCUCUGGCUUGUAACUGACGCUGAGGCUCGAAAGCGUGGGGAGCAAACAGGAUUAGAUACCCCUGUAGUCCCUGUCUCGUAUACA